rnacentral:lncRNA from 1 species
CAGAAGGACAAACAUUUCCCGCCGAGUUCCUUAAGUUAAAAUGAGUCACAUCUGCUUAUAAGGCAUCAUAAAAAAGGAAAGAUAGUCAUUACAUAAGAUCUCAAUACCUUUUCAUAUGAUAAAAAUCAUUUACUUAAACAUAUUAAUCAAGUAAUGUCUGUGUCAUUUUGGUCUCUUGUGGACGAUUGUCUCAUUGGCAAUCAUACCACAUCUUCUUUUUUAUAUUAGUAAAUGCAAGCAAAUAAGAUUUUACAGUAAUCAUAUGAACUAGGAAUAAUAGUUAACAACUGGACAUGUGUAAAAAAAUCGUGACUAAAUAUCACUUUAUUUUCAUGUAAUUCAACCUUUAAGAUAUGUGACAAAAUAAUCA